AGUGAACGCUGGCGGUAGGCCUAACACAUGCAAGUCGAACGGCAGCACAGUAAGAGCUUGCUCUUACGGGUGGCGAGUGGCGGACGGGUGAGGAAUACAUCGGAAUCUACUUUUUCGUGGGGGAUAACGUAGGGAAACUUACGCUAAUACCGCAUACGACCUACGGGUGAAAGCAGGGGAUCUUCGGACCUUGCGCGAUUGAAUGAGCCGAUGUCGGAUUAGCUAGUUGGCGGGGUAAAGGCCCACCAAGGCGACGAUCCGUAGCUGGUCUGAGAGGAUGAUCGGCCACACUGGAACUGAGACUCGGUCCAGGCUCCUACGGGAGGCAGCAGUGGGGAAUAUUGGACAAUGGGCGCAAGCCUGAUCCAGCCAUACCGCGUGGGUGAAGAAGGCCUUCGGGUUGUAAAGCCCUUUUGUUGGGAAAGAAAAGCAGCAGGUUAAUACCCCGCUGUUCUGACGGUACCCAAAGAAUAAGCACCGGCUAACUUCGUG
rnacentral:rRNA from 1 species